GGAGUCAACAUGGGCCAGCUCCCCUAGGACUGCUGCCCAGAAGAAAUAUCAGUCUGUGCAGAGAAGCACGAUAUUGAACUUCACUCAACUUUCCCCUUUAGUUAACAUUAUCAACAUCCUCUGUGCUAAUAUAACUCCCAGGUGAGUUAUUUUUUUCCAACAAUAAUAACAAUAUUACACAUCAAUACAGGGCCAUUCCUGUGAAUACAAUGAAAACACAUUAAAUAGAACACCAGGCACUAAUGUUUCCAACUGAUAUAAGUUUCACACGUUUGAGGGAUUUAUACAAUUGUAACAAUUCAAUUAAAAAAAAAACUACAAAAUAAGGAAUUUUUCCACCCCAAUUACAUUUGUGAAUAUAAUAUUUGGCCAAGCGAAUAAUAAUGUCAAUAAAAUAGUUAUGAUCGGAAUUACAAGGACGAGCAUAAUGCCUCCCAGGUGAGAGCGUAAUGCCUCCCAGUGUUGAUUUAGCGUCUGGUUUUCACUUGAAACUUCAUUUUCAACUAAUUGCCAACGUUGCAAGGCAACUGGGAUUGCGCAGCAUUGAAAGGUAAGUAAUAUGUAAAAAAUGUCAUAAGUUAGCCGAUAUAACAACUUGGCCAGCUAAGUGAAUGGUCGAGGUCUUUGUAGCUAACGUAACAUCUGCGAAGUUUAGAUUUAGAAAGUUGCUAGCUAACGUGGUCAGUUAGCGCUAGAUUAAAAUUAGCAAACUAUUCGAUUUGAGAAAAUUUAUCAAAAUCCAGAAGGAUCAGAGUUGGGCUGUACCGUUAGUUGAUUUCAAUCGUGUGCGUGUUGAGUUCACGAGGCCGACUAACUUUAACAUUAGUGGUGCAGCAGGUGCAUGGUGUUAAUUGGGGUGUGACCAAUUUGAGCCUUAUUUGGUGCAGCAUGUAACUUGCCACGAAGUGAAGGUAACAACAUGGCUAAUAUCUACUAAUUUGUUAUUCAAAACGCAUAUAACUAAGAAUGUUUGUCUGGCCAAAUAUUGUUAGCCAUAUAGCUAGCUAGUUAGGUAUCUAACUACAAUACCGAUCUCAGCAUAUUGUAAUUUAGAGCUAACUUUAGCGAGCUAGUGUACGUGGCCAGACAUGAUAGGGUUGUCCUCUUGACAUUUUUAUAUUAACAUGUCUAUCUAUGGUGUGUGCUUGUUGUUAAUCACAGAUCAGACAUUGUGUUCAAGCUAAUGUAGCCGAUGUGAAAUGGCUAGCUAGUUAGGGGUGGUGUCAAUCAGUGACGUCACUUGCUUUGAGACCUUGAAGUAGUGGUUCCCCUUUCUCUGCAAGGGCCGCAGCUUUUGUGGAACGAUGAGGGUGACUGUUGACGUGUGCAUAGCGUCCCUGGUUCGCGCACAGGUCGGGGCAAGGGGACGGACGUUAAAGUCUACUGUUACUGGUGCAGUGUCCCGGAUCACUGGUUACUGCGGAAAGAGGAGGAGGUCAAAAGGGGAGUGGAGUACAAAAUAGGUUUGGACUGCCCUCUGCAGCACAAAAAAAAACCAAUUUGAUUCCUAAACUGAGGUGGAGGAGGAUGUCCUGCUGGACCUGAUUGAGGCCAGUCCAGACCUGUGCCUCACAAUCAAAGAUCUUUAUGAAGACUUCUCUCCUGCAGGCUGUUCAACACCUAGUUCCUCCACAGACACAUUAUCCUUCUAAAGUUAUUUAGACCUGAGAUCUCCAGAAAGGCUGUCUAAAAAAGCCAGGACAACCUUAGGAGAUGAGGCCAUUGACUCCACAGCAGCAAAAGAGAUGGUCCGAGACGCCCUGACUAGUAGACCUGGUGGGCAAGAUGUAUUAGAAGAGGACCAGACAACCAAAACAUUGGACCACAGAACCAGGAGAGAGAUGAUUGCCAUCUUAGUCAGCCACAAUCCUGCAAUGAAGAGAUUUCACCCCAGUCGGGAGGCCCAACCCAUAGGAGGAAGACUUGGCCCACCAGCUUGUUGGUGAUGCUUGCAAGGAGGCCAUAUCGUUCCCUGUCCACUUGGCUGAUGAAGAACAAGUCUAUCAGAAGAUGGAGGUGUCCCAGUAUCGCCAGGGGCUAGUUUAUAGUACAGACAGAAGCACAGAUGUCCUCAGUCUUUUCCAGGUUUCUGGACAUCAAAGGAUUGUGAUGUAGUAUGUGCUGGAAUCAGAAGUACAGGCUAGUUAUCUGAUUGAGAACAUGAGUUGUCUCAUUGAGAACAUGAUUUUGUGUUGGUCAUGAAGUUGAAUGCUCCACUUUGUUUUGGGUGAAUCAGGACUUUUUGCUGAUGUUCAAUGAUGAAACAUCCUCUAAACUCCUUGAAAAGUGGGACACUGUAUUGAAGCCUAAAGUCAUCAAACUGAUAAAAUCCCUGACUACGACCAUGAUAUGCAUUGCCUCUUAAAGUCUGCUGAAAACUGCCAGAGAAUGACAGUGAAACCAAUUUGGACAAUGAUAUUGUGCUGCUGCUGCUUCAUCUCCCACCAGCAGCACGAGGGAAGAGGACCAAGAUCAGGGCCAGUGAUGCUGUGGGCAGUCAUGCUGCAGCAUUGUAGACCAUCUGGAUGGGAGCCAUGGUCGGGAUGGAUGGGAGCCUUGCCAUCGGAAGAAGACAGAGCAAGAUUGACAACUACUACAACGUGGUGGACAAGAGGCUUGUACAACGUGGUGGCCAGCCCGCCACAGGAGUCGCUGGUGCGCGAUGAGACAAGGACACCCCUACCGACCAAGCCCUCCCUAACCCGGGCGACGCUAGGCCAAUUGUGCGUCGCCCCACGGACCUCCCGGUCGCGGCCGGUUACGACAGAGCCUGGGCGCGAACCCAGGACUCUGAUGGCACAGCUGGCGCUGCAGUACAGCGCCCUUAACCACUGCGCCACCCGGGAGGCCCCAGGACAAAACUUCUUAACUAGAUAAAUGUAUGUUACGUGCCUUUUGUUGUCAAGCGUUGCACAGAAACAGCCAGUCAUUGAUAUCUCAUUUGAGAAUUAAGCAUAGUUUCUAUCCCUCCACUAAGUUUAGAUUGGUCUGUGCUCAAGAUAAUUGUAGAGUUUUCAACAUACUCAGGUUUCAGAAUACAUUUGAAUAGUAUUCACAAGGGUAUUGAUCAAGUAGUUGAUGCAUUAAGCAUAGAAGGUCCCUCCCAUGUUGCUGAUUCUCCAGUCCAGUCAGAAGCUCCACAAAUGGUUGGUGACAUUGGUGUCCCACAUGAUAACACUCAAAAUGAUUGUUUUGAUAAGAAUGGACAGUCUUGCUAAAGAUAUGUGUGCAUCCAUCAUUGCCAUGUUGCAAAUAGUGUUGUCAACAGUAGUGUGAUUCAGAAGAGCUUACUACUGGGCUGCACUCCCAAAUGAACAAGAUGUCCUGUCAGUUAUGCCUAUGGAUAAUCAUUCUACAUCUACUGUAAAGGAUAGGUUUGAGAAUUUUAAAAACCUAUUUGCCAGUUUUAAUACAGAAAUCAGGAGCACAAAGUACUUCAACCAAAAAUGGGGGUUUUGUGGAGCCAGUAGAAGUAGUGUUUGGAGUGAGAUAUGAUAGCAGGGUAAAUAAACAGUCCCAGCGAAAGAUACUUUUGUAUAUAUUCCUAUACUGGAAACAUUGACGUUCAUGUGUCGCAAUUCUAAAAUCUGUAAGUUAUUGGAAAAUGCACCUAGGGAUAAAUCUGUAGAAGACACGUAUGAAGACCUUUGUGAUGGAAGUUACUUUAAGACCCAUCCCUUGUUCUCAAAACAUUGUACAAUUGGAUCUGUAAAGUAUUUCUAUGGUGACUUCAAUUGCCAGCCCGCUUGGAUCCAAGCGUGGUGUUCACAAGGUAGGCACCAUUUAUUUUGUCCUCAGGAAUCUGCCGCCCAAGUUUAACUGCUGUGAUGAAUAUUAAUUUAGUGUCAUUAUUUCAUUAUCAAGAUCUAAAGAAAUAUGGCUAUGAUGCCAUUUUAGAGCCCUUGGUUAAUGAUGUUAAAAUGGAGAGUGAUGGUGUAAAUUUGUCUUUUUCAACUGGCAGUGCCUUUUUUCAACUGGCAGUGCCUUUUUUUUCAACUGGCAGUGCCUUUUUUAUCAACUGGCAGUGCCUUUUUUAUCAACUGGCAGUGCCUUUUUUAUCAACUGGCAGUGCCUUUUUUAUCAACUGGCAGUGCCUUUUUUUAUCAACUGGCAGUGCCUUUUUUAUCAACUGGCAGUGCCUUUUUUUUAU